rnacentral:lncRNA from 1 species
CUUGAACCUGUUCUCAGGUGCAGAAUGGACCAGGCAGCUCACCACUAGCAUUAACUUCAACCUCCAAGUGUUGAGUACCUCAACAUCUCGACCAUGCAGGGCAUUGCACUGAUGCUCCCUGUAAACAGAUCACUGCUGGGAGGCACCAGGAGAAAAAAGGUGUUCCCAAUGAUCUCUGCGGCUUGUAUGGAGCCUCUAUUCUGGUCCCUGUGACCUGCUGGCGAUGUCACCUUAGGCAGUGAUGCUGAGCCCAUGAUGAUGCUCUCGCCUUUGCCAAGGACCAGGUGACCUCAUCAUCACUGCUGUCC